UACGAGGGGGGCGAGCGUUGUUCGGAAUUACUGGGCGUAAAGCGCACGUAGGCGGCUUUGUAAGUUAGAGGUGAAAGCCCAGGGCUUAACCCUGGAAUUGCCUUUAAGACUGCAUCGCUAGAAUCGUGGAGAGGUGAGUGGAAUUCCGAGUGUAGAGGUGAAAUUCGUAGAUAUUCGGAAGGACACCAGUGGCGAAGGCGGCUCACUGGCCCGUUACCGACGCUCAGGCGCGACAGCGUGGGGAGCAAACAGG
rnacentral:rRNA from 1 species